UACGUAGGGUGCAAGCGUUGUCCGGAAUUAUUGGGCGUAAAGAGCUCGUAGGCGGUUUGUCGCGUCUGCCGUGAAAGUCCGGGGCUCAACUCCGGAUCUGCGGUGGGUACGGGCAGACUAGAGUGAUGUAGGGGAGACUGGAAUUCCUGGUGUAGCGGUGAAAUGCGCAGAUAUCAGGGGGAACACCGAUGGCGAAGGCAGGUCUCUGGGCAUUAACUGACGCUGAGGAGCGAAAGCAUGGGGAGCGAACAGG
rnacentral:rRNA from 1 species